GAUGAACGCUGGCGGCGUGCCUAAUACAUGCAAGUCGAGCGAACGGACGAGAAGCGUGCUUCUCUGAUGUUAGCGGCGGACGGGUGAGGAACACGAGGAUAACCGACCGAGAAGACUGGGGUAACUUCGGGGAACCGUAGCUAAUACCGGAUAAUAUUUUGAACCGCAUGGUUCAACAGUGAAAGACGGACUUGCUGUCACUAAUAGAUGGUUCCGCGCUGGAUUAGCUAGUUGGUAAGGUAACGGCUUACCAAGGCAACGAUGCAUAGCCGACCUGAGAGGAUGAUCAGCCACACUGGAACUGAGACACGGUCCAGACUCCUACGGGAGGCAGCAGUAGGGAAUCUUCCGCAAUGGGCGAAAGCCUGACGGAGCAACGCCGCGUGUGUGAUGAAGGUCUUCGGAUCGUAAAACUCUGUUAUUAGGGAAGAACAUAUGUGUAAGUAACUGUGCACAUCUUGACGGUACCUACUCAGAAAGCACCGGCUAACUACGUG
rnacentral:rRNA from 1 species